rnacentral:lncRNA from 1 species
CUACUAUUUUCAAGGAAUUUGGUUGGACCUGGGGCAAAGAGGAUAUAAAGCUAUGUAAGACUUCAUGAUUCUUACUUACAUUCUCAAUCUAUUCAUGAACAUCACACAACUUCACAAGUCAUUAUAAUAAAAGGUGGAAUAAACACAUUUCUUAAACUCCAUAACUACAAAGAUAACUGAGAUUUCAGUGGAGGAAGAAACAUCAUUAGUGAGAAUCAAGAAAGGCUUCAGUAUUAGGUGAGCUUUGAACUAUG